rnacentral:lncRNA from 1 species
GACUAAAUAAUCACAGUCCUCAAUUAAUAUAUGUUAUGCUAAUCCUAAAAAGAACUCUUGGAUCAACUACAUUCAAACAAAAUCUCAGAUCCAAACCUUGAUGCAAACAUGUAGUACUGAUGACAUAAUGAACACACAUAAGAAGCUAGAAUAAAAGAAACAUAGAAUAAAAUACAACAAAUUCAAAUAGCUGAUCAGGCAAUAGAGAAUUAGCAUUUGUCAAUUUCUUCAACUCGAGUUAUAUGUUUUCAUACUUGCACCUCACAUACUAACAAAAGCCAGAGCAUAUCUGGGUACAGCAACACACAAUGAGAAAACGAGCUGAAGUUUAAGAAGAAACGGUAGCAGCAAAUCUGAUUCACUAAAUCAGCAACAAAACAUACUUGAAAACCAGUUUUUGACUCGAAAUAUGACCCCUGAAAUCCUUUGUAACUUUCAGAUAAUAGAAUCAACAAGAAAACUAGACCAAUUUUUAGCAGGGAUGGCCAUGCAUUUCAAUGUUUUGAAGACUCGGUCAUUUACAAUUUAUUCAGGAUUUUUAGUCUCUAAUUUUCUGCCUUGAGAAUGAAGGAACAAUAACUUUAUAGGCAAGCCUUAGGGCAAUAGAAAUGGGUCAGUUUAGUGCCUUUUGAUCCUUUUGAAAUUUUUAUUUUUGCUACUUGGUCCUUAGUUUAAAAUUAAUUUUUGAAAAUCAGACCUAAUCUGCACCUUCUAGAAAGCUUCCCCAGUCAGUUAUUAAAGAUUUCUUAUCCUACAAUUUCUUAAUUAACCUUUAAACCCCUGUUUUUUACUUCAGGAACCUAAAUGGUUCAUAUUGACACAAGUUUCAUCCCAAAAACCUGGGCUUCCCAACCCAGUUUAAUUCCCCCCUUUGGGCUUCUGAUUUUCAUAACUCAGUUCAAGCCACAAUCAAAGGUCACAAAUUAACGGGCUAUCCAGAGUUUCCCAAAAGAAAAACUAUAAAACCUUUAAAAUGAAAUUAAAGAAAAGGGAAAUGAACUAAUUAGACCUAAAUAAUAAAAAACCAAAGAAAACUAAACUUAACUUUUUAUUAAUCUAAUUAUGCAACAGAACAAUGAUUAAAAGCAAAAACAAAACAAAGAAGAAGAAAAGAGAAGACGAAAAAGAGAUGAAGAUGAACUUAAACGAAAGAAAAAGAAGAAAAAUGCAAGAAAAUUAAAGAAGCUGAAAAUACCUAAGAACCAAGCAGACAAAAUCUUCAAACUACUGCUCAGCCUUUGAUUUUGACCGAACGGGCCUUAAUCAUGUGUUCUCAGAAGAAAACAUGCGAAUAAGGUCAAUUUCAGCCUCAAACCUUCGCUAAACUUGCUGAUUUGGGGUUUUGGGAUUUUAGGAUUCAGAACUUCGAUUUAAGAUUCGAAGGAGACUAGGGUGAUUCAAGGGAAACGAGUUAUGGAUUGGGAAAAAGGAGACCAUGGGGGUUUUGGGAUGUUAGUUUGGGACGGAUUGGGAGCGACGCCGCCACCGAAGAAUGCUAGGGCAGCGCUAGGGUUAUGGGCUAUCUCUGAAGAGGGAGGUGAAGUGAGAGAGAUGAAUUAGAAGGGGGUAGG